ACCGAAGGCCUUCAAAGCCUUAAACAAGAGUUAAACUCUCUUAGUUUCUG
rnacentral:tRNA from 1 species